UGGGCGUAAGGGCUCGCAGGCGGUUUCUUAAGUCUGAUGUGAAAGCCCCCGGCUCAACCGGGGAGGGUCAUUGGAAACUGGGAAACUUGAGUGCAGAAGAGGAGAGUGGAAUUCCACGUGUAGCGGUGAAAUGCGUAGAGAUGUGGAGGAACACCAGUGGCGAAGGCGACUCUCUGGUCUGUAACUGACGCUGAGGAGCGAAAGCGUGGGGAGCGAACAGGAUUAGAUACCCUGGUAGUCCACGCCGUAAACGAUGAGUGCUAAGUGUUAGGGGGUUUCCGCCCCUUAGUGCUGCAGCUAACGCAUUAAGCACUCCGCCUGGGGAGUACGGUCGCAAGACUGAAACUCAAAGGAAUUGACGGGGGCCCGCACAAGCGGUGGAGCAUGUGGUUUAAUUCGAAGCAACGCGAAGAACCUUACCAGGUCUUGACAUCCUCUGACAACCCUAGAGAUAGGGCUUUCCCUUCGGGGACAGAGUGACAGGUGGUGCAUGGGUGUCGUCAGCUCGUGUCGUGAGAUGUUGGGUUAAGUCCCGCAACGAGCGCAACCCUCGAUCUUAGUUGCCAGCAUUCAGUUGGGCACUCUCAGGUGACUGCCGGUGACAAACCGGAGGAAGGUGUGGAUGACAUCUAAUCAUCACGCCCCUUAUGACCUGGGCUACACACGUGCUACAAUGGACAGAAC
rnacentral:rRNA from 1 species